UGGGUGGGCAUGCCCACAUGUGGACAAGGUGUGGAAUCUUCGCUGCUGUUAAACUUCCAAAUUCUAGGAGCUGUAAAUUUGGCUGGGUAGGGUCUGGGCUUCCAGCCAGCCACCAAGCUGUCCAGACCAAUCACUAUGAAGUGAUUCUGUGGAACGGUGCUCUGAGAAAUGCGCUGAAGUGUGCUCUAAGUCAUUUAUAAGGAGUGCAGAACUUUGUUCACCAAAAUUGGCAUGGAGGCAGAAGUUGGAGCAGGUGAUAUUUGCGAUCCAGGCCUUGAGGACAAGAAAAAAGGAACAGAUGAAAGACUGACUUAUGGUGGAGGCUG
rnacentral:lncRNA from 1 species